CAGACACACAGACACACACACAAACACACACACACACACUCACACACUCACACAAACUCACACACACACACUCACACACACUCACUCACACACACACACACACACACACACACACACACACACACACACACACACACACACACACACACACACACACACACACAGACACACACACACACACACACACACACACACACACACUCAGCUCAUCCUCUGCUUCCAUUACUAUGAUACAGAAUCAGUCUAACAGCAGUAGUUAGACUAACUCUGAACGCAGUCAUAAUACAGUCCAUAAUACAGUCCACAGUCAUAAUACAUCCAUAAUACAGUCAGAAUACAGUCAGAAUACAGUCAUAAUACAGUCCACAGUCAUAAUACAGUCCGAAUACAGUCCAUAAUACAGUCCACAGUCAUAAUACAGUCCAAAAUACAGUCCACAGUCAUAAUACAGUCCACAGUCAUAAUACAGUCAUAAUACAGUCCUAAUACAGUCAUAAUACAGUCCACAAUACAGUCCACAGUCAUAAUACAGUCAUAAUACAGUCCAUAAUACAGUCCACAGUCAUAAUACAUCCAUAAUACAGUCCACAGUCAUAAUACAGUCAUAAUACAGUCCAUAAUACAGUCCACAGUCAUAAUACAGUCAUAAUACAGUCCACAGUCAUAAUACAGUCCAUAAUACAGUCAGAAUACAGUCCACAGUCAUAAUACAGUCAUAAUACAGUCCACAGUCAUAAUACAGUCCAUAAUACAGUCCACAGUCCAUAAUACAGUCCACAGUCAUAAUACAGUCCAUAAUACAGUCAGAAUACAGUCCACAGUCAUAAUACAGUCCAUAAUACAGUCCACAGUCAUAAUACAGUCCAUAAUACAGUCCACAGUCCAUAAUACAGUCCACAGUCAUAAUACAGUCAUAAUACAGUCCACAGUCAGAAUAC